rnacentral:rRNA from 1 species
UACGAAGGGUGCUAGCGUUGUUCGGAAUUACUGGGCGUAAAGCGCGCGUAGGCGGCUAUCCAAGUCAGGGGUGAAAUCCUUGGGCUCAACCCAAGAAUUGCCUUUGAAACUGGAUAGCUAGAGUGUCGGAGGGGAUAGCGGAAUUCCUAAUGUAGAGGUGAAAUUCGUAGAUAUUAGGAGGAACACCGGUGGCGAAGGCGGCUAUCUGGACGACAACUGACGCUGAGGCGCGAAAGCACGGGGAUCAAACAGG